GACGAACGCUGGCGGCGUGCCUAAUACAUGCAAGUCGAGCGAAGUUUUUCUGGUGCUUGCACUAGAAAAACUUAGCGGCGAACGGGUGAGUAACACGUAAAGAACCUGCCUCAUAGACUGGGACAACUAUUGGAAACGAUAGCUAAUACCGGAUAACAGUAUUUCUCGCAUGAGAGAUAUUUAAAAGUUGGUUAUGCUAACACUAUGAGAUGGCUUUGCGGUGCAUUAGCUAGUUGGUGGGGUAAAGGCCCACCAAGGCGACGAUGCAUAGCCGACCUGAGAGGGUGAUCGGCCACACUGGGACUGAGACACGGCCCAGACUCCUACGGGAGGCAGCAGUAGGGAAUCUUCAGCAAGGGGCGAAAGCCUGACGGAGCAACGCCGCGUGAGUGAAGAAGGAGUUCGGUUCGUAAAGCUCUGUUGUUAGGGAAGAAUGGAUAUGUAGUAACUAUACAUGUAAGAGACGGUACCUAACCAGAAAGCCACGGCUAACUACGUG
rnacentral:rRNA from 1 species